UACGGAGGGAGCUAGCGUUGUUCGGAAUUACUGGGCGUAAAGCGCGCGUAGGCGGCUUUGUAAGUUAGAGGUGAAGGCCUGGAGCUCAACUCCAGAAUUGCCUUUAAGACUGCAUCGCUUGAAUCCGGGAGAGGUGAGUGGAAUUCCGAGUGUAGAGGUGAAAUUCGUAGAUAUUCGGAAGAACACCAGUGGCGAAGGCGGCUCACUGGACCGGCAUUGACGCUGAGGUGCGAAAGCGUGGGGAGCAAACAGG
rnacentral:rRNA from 1 species